AACGAACGCUGGCGGCAUGCCUAACACAUGCAAGUCGAACGAGACCUUCGGGUCUAGUGGCGCACGGGUGCGUAACGCGUGGGAAUCUACCCUCAGGUUCGGAAUAACUCAGAGAAAUUUGAGCUAAUACCGGAUGAUGUCGUAAGUCCAAAGAUUUAUCGCCUGAGGAUGAGCCCGCGUAGGAUUAGGUAGUUGGUGAGGUAAAGGCUCACCAAGCCGACGAUCCUUAGCUGGUCUGAGAGGAUGAUCAGCCACACUGGGACUGAGACACGGCCCAGACUCCUACGGAAGGCAGCAGUGGGGAAUAUUGGACAAUGGGCGAAAGCCUGAUCCAGCAAUGCCGCGUGAGUGAUGAAGGCCUUAGGGUUGUAAAGCUCUUUUACCCGGGAUGAUAAUGACAGUACCGGGAGAAUAAGCUCCGGCUAACUCCGUG
rnacentral:rRNA from 1 species